rnacentral:rRNA from 1 species
CAGUCGCCGCGGUAAUACAGAGGAUGCAAGCGUUAUCCGGAAUGAUUGUGCGUAAAGCGUGCGCAGGCGGUUAUGUAAGACAGUUGUGAAAUCCCCGGGCUCAACCUGGGAACUGCAUCUGUGACUGCAUAGCUAGAGUACGGUAGAGGGGGAUGGAAUUCCGCGUGUAGCAGUGAAAUGCGUAGAUAUGCGGAGGAACACCGAUGGCGAAGGCAAUCCCCUGGACCUGUACUGACGCUCAUGCACGAAAGCGUGGGGAGCAAACAGGAUUAGAUACCCCAGUAGUCCCUGUCUCUUAUAC